UACGGAGGGGGCUAGCGUUGUUCGGAAUUACUGGGCGUAAAGCGCACGUAGGCGGCUUUGUAAGUUAGAGGUGAAAGCCCAGGGCUUAACCCUGGAAUUGCCUUUAAGACUGCAUCGCUAGAAUCGUGGAGAGGUGAGUGGAAUUCCGAGUGUAGAGGUGAAAUUCGUAGAUAUUCGCAAGAACACCAGUGGCGAAGGCGGCUCACUGGCCCGAUACUGACGCUGAGGCACGGAA
rnacentral:rRNA from 1 species